rnacentral:rRNA from 1 species
AUUGAACGCUGGCGGCAUGCCUUACACAUGCAAGUCGAACGGUAACAGGUCUUCGGAUGCUGACGAGUGGCGAACGGGUGAGUAAUACAUCGGAACGUGCCUAGUAGUGGGGGAUAACUACUCGAAAGAGUGGCUAAUACCGCAUGAGAUCUACGGAUGAAAGCAGGGGAUCGCAAGACCUUGUGCUACUAGAGCGGCCGAUGGCAGAUUAGGUAGUUGGUGGGAUAAAAGCUUACCAAGCCGACGAUCUGUAGCUGGUCUGAGAGGACGAUCAGCCACACUGGGACUGAGACACGGCCCAGACUCCUACGGGAGGCAGCAGUGGGGAAUUUUGGACAAUGGGCGCAAGCCUGAUCCAGCAAUGCCGCGUGCAGGAUGAAGGCCUUCGGGUUGUAAACUGCUUUUGUACGGAACGAAAAGCCCUGGGUUAAUACCCUGGGGUCAUGACGGUACCGUAAGAAUAAGCACCGGCUAAUUACGUGCCAGCCGCCGCAGUAAGAC